UCAAAACUGCUGCUGUGUUUUUUUUGUCCAUAGGCUGGACACGAUAAUGGAAGAAGUCUCAACGGUUUAAAAAGUGAAGCCCAGGAACUAUAGUAGAAGCCACCAGGGGGCAGCUCUACUGGUUGCAAAACAAAUUUGUGACUUACAAAAGAGGAAUAAGCUACAUAGAAGUCGUCUUGGAAAGAAAUCCACUAGAUGGGAACAGUGGACUGAUAAAGGAUGAGAGUGCCAAGGUGAAUCCAAGUGCAGGGGAGGGUGUAGGGUGCUGUUUUGCCUCGAUGGCAUCGAAAUGGAAAUAGGAGUGGUGUUUGAUGCAGAGCACGAGAUAAGCAGAAGGCUUGAUGAAUGCAGCGGUGGAGCGUUUCAAGGUUGCACUCUGAAUGGUUUAUGAAAAUAUUAGAAAACAAUCCACUUCCACCGUAUCUGUGUUUAUCCCAUUUACACAUUUAAUCGUCCAAUUCUGAUUCACCUCACGUUCCUCUGUGCAGAGUUCAAAUUAUACAACCUAAUAAAAGCUCAUCAGACCGCCUGAAGUAAUUGCUGUGUGGUCCAGCAGAGGGCGCUGUGAGCACAGCUUGGUCUUAGAUGCAGCGAUGUUUUGAUGUCCAGAUGGUAGAUCAUGUUACCAGUACGAGAAGCACGGAGCCAAGUUAGGGUCAUGGUGGGGAAUAUUUUUUUUUUACCAAAUGACUCACAGACUGGUACUGGUACUGGUGGCCUGGUGGUUGUGGACCUCUGAUCUAAACAACUGUUUUAAAGAGAGAAGGAAGUAAAAGAUGCAGAUAUUUAAAUGACUCCACCACCUGUA